GGGUAUUCUCGGGUGACGCACCCAGGAAUCGGGCUCCCUCCUCUCUGGUUCUGGGUGCUUCACCCAAGAACCACA
rfam:Myotis brandtii contig269397, whole genome shotgun sequence.